rnacentral:rRNA from 1 species
CUGGGAACUGCCUGAUGGAGGGGGAAACUAAAGGAAAAGGUAGCUAAUACCGCAUAACGUCGCAAGACCAAAGUGGGGGACCUUCGGGCCUCAUGCCAUCAGAUGUGCCCAGAUGGGAUUAGCUAGUAGGUGGGGUAACGGCUCACCUAGGCGACGAUCCCUAGCUGGUCUGAGAGGAUGACCAGCCACACUGGAACUGAGACACGGUCCAGACUCCUACGGGAGGCAGCAGUGGGGAAUAUUGCACAAUGGGCGCAAGCCUGAUGCAGCCAUGCCGCGUGUAUGAAGAAGGCCUUCGGGUUGUAAAGUACUUUCAGCGAGGAGGAAGGGGUUAAGGUUAAUAACCUUGGCCAUUGACGUUACUCGCAGAAGAAGCACCGGCUAACUCCGUGCCAGCAGCCGCGGUAAUACGGAGGGUGCAAGCGUUAAUCGGAAUUACUGGGCGUAAAGCGCACGCAGGCGGUCUGUCAAGUCGGAUGUGAAAUCCCCGGGCUCAACCUGGGAACUGCAUCCGAAACUGGCAGGCUUGAGUCUCGUAGAGGGGGGUAGAAUUCCAGGUGUAGCGGUGAAAUGCGUAGAGAUCUGGAGGAAUACCGGUGGCGAAGGCGGCCCCCUGGACGAAGACUGACGUCAGGUGCGAAAGCGGGGGAGCAAACAGGAUUAGAUACCCUGGUAGUCCACGCCGUAAACGAUGUCGACUUGGAGGUUGUGCCCUUGAGGCGUGGCUUCCGGAGCUAACGCGUUAAGUCGACCGCCUGGGGAGUACGGCCGCAAGGUUAAAACUCAAAUGAAUUGACGGGGGCCCGCACAAGCGGUGGAGCAUGUGGUUUAAUUCGAUGCAACGCGAAGAACCUUACCUGGUCUUG